rnacentral:rRNA from 1 species
UGGGGAAUUUUGGACAAUGGGCGAAAGCCUGAUCCAGCAAUGCCGCGUGUGUGAAGAAGGCCUUCGGGUUGUAAAGCACUUUUGUCCGGAAAGAAAUCCUUGGCUCUAAUACAGUCGGGGGAUGACGGUACCGGAAGAAUAAGCACCGGCUAACUACGUGCCAGCAGCCGCGGUAAUACGUAGGGUGCAAGCGUUAAUCGGAAUUACUGGGCGUAAAGCGUGCGCAGGCGGUUUGCUAAGACCGAUGUGAAAUCCCCGGGCUCAACCUGGGAACUGCAUUGGUGACUGGCAGGCUAGAGUAUGGCAGAGGGGGGUAGAAUUCCACGUGUAGCAGUGAAAUGCGUAGAGAUGUGGAGGAAUACCGAUGGCGAAGGCAGCCCCCUGGGCCAAUACUGACGCUCAUGCACGAAAGCGUGGGGAGCAAACAGGAUUAGAUACCCUGGUAGUCCACGCCCUAAACGAUGUCAACUAGUUGUUGGGGAUUCAUUCCUUAGUAACGUAGCUAACGCGUGAAGUUGACCGCCUGGGGAGUACGGUCGCAAGAUUAAAACUUCAAAGGAAUUGACGGGGUCAUAGCUGUUUCCU